GUUCAACAUUCAUCUCCAGGAAAAGAGUUUACCGUUGCGGUAUUGGUGAUGUUGUCAUUCUCCUUUCUCUCACAGGGUUAAGAAAUUACUUGGAAAGGUUGUUUACACUGUUAGCAAGAGCUACGUCUGUUAAUUUAUCGAUUGAUUAUGGAGCUUAAGCAUGGACAUUGCUCUAUGUUAUCUAGAGAUCUCAAUUUGCACGAUUGCUCCUCAACUGCAAGGGAGGAGCAACCGAAUUGCUCUUCAUCUGUCAAUAUUUGUUGUUUUGGCAGUGGUAUGAAUGAAAACCUUAUAUGGUUUGACCUCAAAAUGGUGUGAUAAAAUUGUUUGCUUAGAUUUCUCAUUUUUUGUGCUUCUUUUAACUGUUAACCGUGGAGUGUUUGAAUCUUUUAGAAAUGGUCCUGCGUUCUUGGGUUGCUUAGAGCAACAGUAUGGGAUCUAUUUUAGAUUGAGGUAGAUGGUGAUUGUUGGGUCUUUUGCAACUUUUUGAGGUUUUCUUUUGUUUGGGGUUUCACCUAAACAAAAUAACACUGUUACCAUUUACAUUCAAGCAUAUUUUAGAUUGAGGUAGAUGGUGAAUUGUUGGGUCUUUUGCAACUUUUUGGGGUUUCACCUAAACAAAAUUACACUGUUACUAUUUACAAUGGUGGAUUUCCGGGAUGGCACGGAUUUUAUAGACACCAUUCAAAACGAAUUGAUCAAGAACCUCAGGACUGACAAUGAGAAAUGCUAUCAAAUAAAUGUAUUAUACCAUGGGGGAUGCCGAACUCGACACAGAUUUCAUAAGCACCUUUCAAAGUGAAUAGGUCAAGUACCUCAGGAAUGACAAUGAGAAAUGUUAUCAACCGGGAACAUGUUCAUGUACUUUCACAAGGUUUGUUUGUCAUUGCUAUGUAAUGAGAAUGAUGAUUUCUCUUUUUUUUUCAUUACAUGUGCAACAGGUCCUGCCGAAUAACUUCGAACUCAAGGUUAUUUAGAGCUGUUACUUCUGCUUAUGAUAGAGGUUUCAAUUUAUCCCCUUCACUAGAUACUUCUUCCGAAGUUCUUCCUGACGAUAGCAUACCUCCCCGGCUGACUCCCCCUAAUCAUGGGAACUGGCGGCCAACCAAUGCCCAAAGUGCAGCCAUGCCCUUUUUUAAGGUUCAGUGGAUACUCCAAUGGAACCAGUGAAAAACAAUGAAGAACCACAGAAGGGAAGUGAACAUGUUAUCACAGACACGGUACAGCCUUCUACCUAUGAAAACAAUUAGUAUGACAUAGGAGAAUCGCUUUGAAUAAACAAGGUAAUAAAGGACUCGGAGUUUAUAAUGUGUUCCAAAUAAACGCCAGUUUUCAGGAAGUGAACAUGUUAUCCCUCAUUGAUGUGGUCACAAUAAACAAUGUAAAAGGCAGCCUAACAAGACUCUAAUUUUGUUGCUUUGAAUGGCAGUGGAGAAUCGCAUGUAUAACCAUCCGUCCUAUAACUAACUGAGCAAGCCCGAUGUUGAUAAAUUGUACAUAUGCAAUAUCCAAUGAUAAGCUUUUUCUAAAAAUAAAAAUAAAAAUUGAUUUUCUAGAAGUUGAUAUUUAUGUUCAUGGUUUAGGAAUGACGGUUGAAUAUUCAUAAAAUAUACUUGAAGUAUAGACUGGAUUCGGUGAGAGUGGUGAUAUUUGUUUUCACAAAAAUGCAGAAAGCUAUUAUUUUAUUUGUGAUCUAGCUAUGAAUGUAGAAUGAGUUUCUGAACUUUUGUUGGCUUGAAUCUAGAUCUGGAUAGUAAUAGUAGCAUGGUUUUGUACAUAAAUGCUAAGAUCAGUAGUUAGUAUUUUUGGAAUACCUUAUAACGACUUGAGUAUGGAGGAAAUGAUCAGUGCCGCAGAUGAAAGAGCAAUGGGAGGAAGAACGAGCAAGCUGAGGAGCUAGGCUAUGGAACAACACAAAUGGUUAUAGAUGGUUGGAUUUUAUUCCUAUCAAUUUACAACGAUUCUAUUUUUAUUUUUUUUUCCAAGUUUCUAUAUUCUUGUCUCAUGUAAGUCAGUUUCACUUAACAUCUAUGAGUUCUUUUAAUUUUGAUGUUCAGAAUUCUGUAUUCCUAGCUGCCUCUAGAAGACAUUCUUCUUAUUCCAUUUAGCAUUUGAUCAA